UCACAGAUUCAUUACCCUCUCCCCUCUCCCCUUUCUUUCUCCUUCUCCAACAUUAUUCUCUCUCUAAAAUGGCACGAAUGAAGCUCUCUUUGUAGAUAUUGACGAAGCAACUGAUGAUGAAGAUUUCAAGGUGGUUCCCAAAUCUCAUCUAACUUCUUACCUUAUUCCCAAUCUUGGAAGUGAGGGAGAAUGAAGUAGUAUCUUACCAGAGAGAUUUAAAGAGCCUCAGAAAAAUGGAGAUGAAAUGGAUGUGGAAAAAAAAAAUUGUUUAGAGAAUAAGAAGGGGACAAUUCAGCUUUUAGUUCAUGUUAAUUUCGUUAGGAGAAAAUAUUUAAAGUUUGAGGUUAUUUUUCUUGCAUUGUAAGUUCAUUGAUUUUUGAGCGUUCUUUAAUGCGAAGAAUGCUUAAUUUAGGUGUCACAUGAUCUUUAGUGCCAUUUGGAGUGCAUCAUACUUACCCGUCCCACUAUUCUAAAUCUAAUCAUAGCUUUGUUUCAGUUUCUCUGUGCCCUAACCUUGCCUGUUCGAAAACUAGUCGUCAACUACGUUGAGCAGAACCACAAGGUGAGUAGUAAGUAACAUUUUGAGCUUCAAUUGUACAGUAGAAUUACAGAUUGGAUGGUUAUGAACCCUAGUUGUUACUCUUUUUAUAGCUAAAUUGGAUUAGUUCUCUAUUGUGGUGUUGACACUUCAUUCGUAUAGGACAAAAUGAAGAUCUUUAUGGCAAAGUAUUACUGUGUGAGAUUGCACACUUUAUUCAGUGUUGCUUUGGCAGCUGGACUGGUAACAGCCAGAACCAUCGCUGGAAAAUAUGUUGACAUGACGGUUUUUCUCUGAUUUUCCACUCCAUAGAUUUCAAA